ensembl:lncRNA ALOX12P2 arachidonate 12-lipoxygenase pseudogene 2
GAGAAGCUGAAGGUCUGCUUCCGGGAGAUGCUCCCGACUUCACCUGGAGCUGAGUCAAGUUAGAGAACCGGACCAAGCGAAAUACAGGGGCAGAGGAGGCAGCAGGGAGGCCCUGGGAGCUCUUUGAAUCCCCAGGUAGCCUAUUCCUGCCUGGCACCACUGGGAUUCAUCAGGAGGGAGGCCAGAGGAGCAGGAGGUGGGAGGCGGAAAGCCUCGGGCAAGUUUUCAAGCCCGUCCUCUGUCUGGAAACAGACUCAGAGGUGUUGCAGGGGACACGGUGGGAGUGAGACCAGCCCUUCGGUGUGCGUGGGAUCUGGGGGAGGCCUGUGACUGCCGGCUUUCCCCUGCUUCUCUGACAACCUGCAUGACUCAGCAGAGGCAGCCAUAAUCCUGGAGAGCCCCGGUUUAAGAUCUCCAGGUGAAGUAGAUUUUUAUUUCAGAACCUUCAGGAAGGGGAGAGUGGCUCAUGGGCUGAGUGGAUAAACCACAAAAUGGGUAAUAUACUAUAGGAGGCAGAGUUUGAGAUCGACGUCCCCCUGCACCUGGGGCGCCUCCUGAUGGUGAAGCUGCGCAAACACAACGUGCUGUUGAGUCUCGACUGGUUCUGCAAGUGGAUCUCAGUGCAGGGCCCGGGGACCCAAGGCGAGGCCUUUUUCCCCUGCUACCGCUGGGUGCAGGGCCACGGAAUUAUCUGCCUGCCUGAGGGUACUGGUGGGGCUCCUGGAAAGAUGGGUUAAUCCUGCCUAUAGCAGGGAAUAGGCAACCGGACCUUCCUAGGGACGAGCGAUUCCUCGAGGAUAAGGAUUUAGACUUUAAUGUCUCCCUAGCAAAAGGGCUGGAUCUCUGUUUGAAGUGGAUUUCUCCUUGCUGGAUGGAGUCAAGCCUAAUGUCAUCAUUUUUAAGCAGCAAUGCGUGGCAGCCCCUUUGGUCAUGCUGAAGCUUCAGCCUGAUGGAGGACUCUUACCCAUGGUCAUCCAGCUCCAGCCACCUUGACACGGAUGUCCCCCACCUCUGCUCUUUCUGCCCUCGCAUCCCCCCAUGGCCUGGCUCCUGGCCAAGACCUGGGUCCGGAGCUCUGAUUUCCAGCUGCAGCAGUUACAGUCACAUCUGCUGAGGGGACACUUGAUUGCUGAGGUUAUUGCUGUGGCUACAAUGAGAAGCUUGCCUAGCCUCCAUCCUAUCUACAAGCUCCUGAUCCCCCACUUCCGCUACACCAUGGCGAUCAACACGCUGGCCCAGAGUAGUCUUGUCUCCGAAUGGGGAAUUUUUGACCUGGUGGUGAGCACUGGUAGUGGAAGCCACGUGGACAUUCUUCAGAGAGCCAUGGCUUGUUUGACCUAUCAUUCCCUCUGUCCUCCUGAUGACCUGGCUGACCGUGGGCUCCUGGAUGUGAAAUCUUCUUUUUAUGGCUAAGAUGCCAUCAGGCUGUGGGGAAUCAUCAGCCGGGAAUAGGUACGUGGAGGGGAUGGUUGGGCUUUUCUACAAUAGUGACCAAGCCAUGAAGGAUGAUCUAGAGCUGCAGGCCUGGUGCAGAGAGAUGACUGAGACUGGACUGCAGAGGGCCCAAGACCAGGGGUUCCUCAUCUCCUUAGAGUCCCGGGCUCAGCUCUGCCACUUUGUCACCAUGUGCAUCUUCACAUGCACAGCUGGACUGGUACUCCUGGAUCCCUAAUGGCCCAUGCACCAUGCAGAAGCCCCCGCCCAUCUCUAAGGAUGUGACAGAGAAGGAUAUAGUGGACUUACUGCCCAAUCUCCACCAGGCACGUAUGCAAAAGACCUUCACAAAGUUCCUUGGCAGACGCCAGCCUGUCAUGGUGAGAAGCAAAUGCCUGGGUCCUGGGAAGGAGGCAGCUCAAAGGAGGGGAAGUAUUCUGGGCUGAGAGUCCCAAGGGGCUGAGCCAACUUGUCUUCUGCCUCUCAGCAUGAGGAGAAAUAUUUCUCUGGUCCUGAGCCCCAAGCUGUGCUGAGACAAUUCCAGGAGGAACUGGCUUCCAUGGACAAGGAGAUUGAGGUCCGGAAUGCAGUCCUGGACCUGCCCUGUGAGUACCUUUGACCCAGCAUGGUAGAGAACAGCGUGACCAUCUGAGAGGCCUUGCCCGCCUCAGCUCCAAAGCUCCACCAUCCCUGAGUGCCUUUGAGUAUUCCGUCCUCCUCACAUCCUCUGGUGAACAAAUUGUCCCCAAAGCUUUGUGGUCAGGGUAUCCAGAGCUGCUCACCACACAACUAUGGGGAAUACACAGUGAUGGUCCCCAUUGCAUUUGGAAGUGGCAUCCCCCAAAGCUGCCCUACCUUAAAUGUCCAUCCAGUCCUGCACUUCCUCACCCCGAUCCCUGCACACCUCCUCAUUGCCAAAGGACCUGGCUUAGAUACAAGUAAAAAUAUAUGAUUAAAUAACAAAA